rnacentral:rRNA from 1 species
UACAGAGGUCCCAAGCGUUGUUCGGAUUCACUGGGCGUAAAGGGUGCGUAGGUGGUGAGGUAAGUCGGAUGUGAAAGCUCGGAGCUCAACUCCGAAAUGGCAUUGGAAACUACCUUGCUCGAGGGUUGGAGGGGGGACUGGAAUACUUGGUGUAGCAGUGAAAUGCGUAGAUAUCAAGUGGAACACCAGUGGCGAAGGCGGCUUCUUGGGCCGUUUCUGACGCUGAGGCGCGAAAGCCAGGGGAGCGAACGGG